rnacentral:rRNA from 1 species
AUUGAACGCUGGCGGCAGGCCUAACACAUGCAAGUCGAACGAGUGGCGGACGGGUGAGUAAUGUCUGGGAAACUGCCCGAUGGAGGGGGAUAACUACUGGAAACGGUAGCUAAUACCGCAUACCAUCGGAUGUGCCCAGAUGGGAUUAGCUAGUAGGUGGGGUAAAGGCUCACCUAGGCGACGAUCCCUCGCUGGUCUGAGAGGAGGAUCAGCAACACUGGAACUGAGACACGGUCCAGAAUCCUACGGGAGGCAGCAGUGGGGAAUAUUGCACAAUGGGCGCAAGCCUGAUGCAGCCAUGCCGCGUGUAUGAAGAAGGCCUUCGGGUUGUAAAGUACUUUCAGCGAGGAGGCGUUACUCGCAGAAGAAGCACCGGCUAACUCCGGGCCAGCCGCCGCGGUAAUAC